rnacentral:rRNA from 1 species
CGUGUAGGCGGGAAUGCAAGUCAGAUGUGAAAUACCGUAGCUUAACUACGGGGCUGCAUCUGAAACUGUGUUUCUUGAGUGUCGGAGAGGAAAGUGGAAUUCCCAGUGUAGCGGUGAAAUGCGUAGAUAUUGGGAGGAACACCAGUGGCGAAGGCGACUUUCUGGACGAUAACUGACGCUGAGGCGCGAAAGCGGUGGGGAGCAAACAGGAUUAGAUACCCUGGUAGUCCACGCUGUAAACGAUGGAUACUAGGUGUAGGAGAUAUCGACCCCUUCUGUGCCGGAGUUAACACAAUAAGUAUCCCACCUGGGGAGUACGGCCGCAAAGGUUAGAAA